CAAUCCAUUUCCUCCCACGAAUGAAUCAGAUGUCGUCCGGAGGCGCACAGCUCAUGCUUUUAAAAUUUCUAAGAUAUAUAAGACGGAGUUUCGCUCUGUCUCCCAGGCUGGAGUGCAACGGCGCAAUCUCGGCUGAAGAUAACCUCUGCCUACCAGGUUCAAUAGAGAUGGGCUUUCACUGUGUUAGCCAGGAUGGUCUCGAUCUCCUGACCUCGUGAUCCGCCCGCCUCGGCCUCCCAAAGUGCUGGGAUUACAGGCAUGAGCCACCGCGCCCAGCACCAACCCGUUUCUUAUGCAAACUGCCUUUCUCAUUGCGGCUGCCUUAGUGAAAAUGAAAUUAAAUAAAGUCUUAUCUUUUCUAAUCCU
rnacentral:sRNA from 1 species